ACAAGGAACUGGAACCAGCGCAGCGUGGCGAUAGGCGGGGGUAGAGCCCCGCCGGAGAGGCUGGGCAGCCGCUGGUGACAGACUGUGCCCUGUCCACAGCGCCUCCUGCAUGUCCUGCUGUCCUGAGCUGUCCCAAGCUCGGUGACAGCAUACCACGCUGCCACCAUGAACAAGGUGUCUGUCAUCAAAGAAGGCUAGCUCCACAAGCGCGGUGAAUACAUCAAGACCUGGAGGCCACGGUACUUCCUGCUGAAGAGUGACAGCUCCUUCAUUGGGUACAAGGAGAGGUCCGAGGCCCCUGAUCAGACCCUGCCCCCUUAAACAACUUCUCUGUAGCAGAAUGCCAGCUGAUAAAGACUGAGAGGCCGAGGCCCAACACCUUUGUCAUACACUGCCUGCAGUGGACCACAGUCAUUGAGAGGACCUUCCAUGUGGAUUCUCCAGAUGAGAGGGAGGAGUGGAUGCGAGCCAUCCAGAUGGUCGCCAACAGCCUCAAGCAGCGGGCCCUGGGCGAGGACCCCAUGGACUACAAGUGUGGCUCCCCCAGUGACUCCUCUGUGGCUGAGGAGUUGGAAGUGGCAGUCAGCAAGGCACGGGCCAAAGUGACCAUGAAUGACUUCGACUAUCUCAAACUCCUUGCCAAGGGAACCUUUGGCAAAGUCAUCCUGGUGCAGGGGAAGGCCACCGGCAGCUACUACACCAUGAAGAUCCUGCGGAAGGAAGUCAUCAUUGCCAAGGAUGAAGUCGUUCACACAAUCAGCGAGAGCCGGGUCCUCCAGAACACCAGGCACCCAUUCCUCACUGCACUGAAGUAUGCCUUCCAGACCCACCACUGUCUGUGCUUCGUGAUGGAGUACGCCAACGAUGGCGAGCUGUUCUUCCACCUGUCCCGGGAGUGUGUCUUCACAGAGGAGCGGGCACGGUUUUAUGGUGCAGAGAUCGUCUCAGCUCUUGAGUACUUGCACUCUUGGGACAUGGUGUACCGCGACAUCAAGCUGGAAAACCUCAUGCUGGACAAAGAUGGCCACAUCAAGAUCACUGACUUUGGCUCUGCAAAGAAGGCAUCGGUGAUUGGGCCACCAUGAAAACCUUCUGUGGGACUCUGGAGUAUCUGGCGCCUGAGGUGCUGGAGGAAAACUAUUGCCGGGCAGUGGACUGGUGGGGGCUGGGUGUGGUCAUGUACGAGAUGAUGUGUGGCCGCCUAUCCUUCUACAACCAGAACCACAAGCACCUCUUCAAGCUCAUCCUCGUGGAGGAGAUCCGUUUCCUGUGCACGCUUAGCCCCGAGGCCAAGUCGGGCUGCUUAAGAAGGACCCCAAGCAGAGGCUUGGGGGGCCCAGCGAUGCCCAGGAGGUCAUGGAGCACGGGUUGUUCCUCAGCAUCAACUGGCAGGAUGUGGUCCAGAAGAAGCUCCUGCCACCCUUCAAACCUCAGGUCACGACUGAGGUCGACACAUGGUACUUGAAUGAUGAAUUCACCGCCCAGUCCAUCACAAUCACACCCCCUGACUGCUAUGACAGCCUGGGCUCCCUGGAGCUGGACCAGCGGACCCACUUCCCCCAGUUCUCCUACUUGGCCAGCAUCCGGGAGUGAGCAGUCUGCCCAAGCAGAGGAUGCACCCACGCUGCCAUCACCGCAGGGUAGCUUUUUUCCAACUUUUUACUUUGCCUUUUUGGUUUGUGUCCCCACCCCUACCUCCUCACCC